CCCCUCUCCCAAGGAUACGCAGUUGCCGCCUUCGCCGGAUUCGCCGCCGUUGAUCAGCCGAUCCGGGCAGCGUAGCCGCCGGUACCGCCGCCGAUCUGCCUAUCUAGGCAUACGCGACCGUCAUGGAUCACGAGAACACCGGCGCCGCCGGCGCCUAGAAUACGUCGCCCGUCACCACCACGAUGGCACCUCGCUGCUGCCGCCCGGCAUGGAUGGCCGCCCCAAGACAUGGAUAAGCUCUCGUGAUCCCGACCCCACCCCUCUCAUCCCCUGAAUCCAUAUCCUCCAUCCCGUCUUGAUCCCGCCCAUGAUCUGAUCAGGAAGCUACCCAUGAUCCGAUCCCCUGGUUUUUUAUCCGGUUAUCCACCUCUCAUCUCUCGCAUGGGCGUUCUAGCAACCCCCAUCUUCGGUGGGACGACAUUGUUGACAUCGUCGCGACCUCCCGCAAUUCUUGGCUCGGCCUUCCUCGACUCCAUGCGCGGCUAACGAGGUGGUCUUCGUCCAGAGGUUACACACCUGAUGAUGUUUACGGCGAGGCACAGGAACAAGCAGAGGCCGAGGAAGUGCGGGCAUGCACGAGGAAGGUUCAGCAGGCUGCAGAAGUCGGGCCACGCCCGAAGAGCCGCGCCAACGCAUGUGUGCGUGGUCGGUGGGUUGGCCAUGAUCUGCAUUCUGCGACUUCUUCUUCACCAUGGACACAAGCAAGGACUGACUCGUGGGUCUUGGUAGCGGUGCCGAGCAUCAGUGAAUCAAAGUGGUCGAGGUCGCGGUUAAUCGACCAGGACGAGACAUGCAUCUUGGAGCUGGUGCAGAGGGGGAAAGAAGCAGGUUGGUCUGGCCCGGCCUCGCAAAUGAAUUGGAUCUGCAGAAGGCUACCAAAAACUUCACAAUGAUUCUAGGCAAUGGCUACUGGUGAAGUCAUGGCUGAAAAGGUUCUUGCGACGCCGCUGCUACUUGGUGCCCGACACACCCAAGGCAUCAGUUGCCAUCCCUGUUCUCCCGGUGGCCCUCUCGUCAUGCGUUCAAUUGGUCGAGUAGUUCGUCACAGCCGCUGAAGAACAGGACCAUAGUAGACCAUUGCAAUGCGGCAACCCAAAUUUCAAUUCCACGGUGUUCUGUGCGCAUCACUAAGCACAUUGAGUCAUAUAUUUUUCCUCUGCAACAUAAGAAUAGG